AUGGUGGAAGGCCUGGUUCCUGCGGGUGCAAUCGUUGUGGAUGUUCUUAGCAAAGAUAACUAUGAGCAUUGGAGUGCGUUGGUUAAAAAUUACUUGCUGGCUCAAGACCUCUGGGACGUAGUGGAGGCUACAGCUGAACCUCCUGUACCAGAAGAAGCUGAUCAGUUCAUCGGGAGGAAGAAGACUGCCGCGGCUUUACAUGCAAUCCAAAUUUCGUGUGGGCCGGAUGCGUUUUCGGUGAUUAAGGAGAUCAGUUCAUCCAAAAUUGCUUGGGAUAUUUUGGCCCAAACGUUCAAGCCACAGCUAUGGAGAUCUGUUCAGUCUGCAAACUCAUCAAACAACCCAG
rnacentral:lncRNA from 1 species